rnacentral:rRNA from 1 species
CGGAAUAGCCAUUAGAAAUGGUGGGUAAAACUGUAUAAUCCCCGAGGGGGAAAGAUUUAUCGCUAUUAGAUGAGCCUACGUUAGAUUAGCUAGUUGGUGAGGUAAUGGCUUACCAAGGCUAUGAUCUAUAGCUGGUCUGAGAGGACGAUCAGCCACACUGGAACUGAGAUACGGUCCAGACUCCUACGGGAGGCAGCAGUGGGGAAUAUUGGACAAUGGGCGAAAGCCUGAUCCAGCUAUGCCGCGUGAGUGAAGAAGGCCUUCGGGUUGUAAAACUCUUUCAAUAGGGAAGAUAAUGACGGUACCUAUAGAAGAAGUCCCGGCAAACUCUGUGCCAGCAGCCGCGGUAAUACGGAGGGGGCAAGCGUUGUUCGGAAUUAUUGGGCGUAAAGGGCACGUAGGUGGACUAGUAAGUUAAAAGUGAAAUACCAAAGCUUAACUUUGGAGCGGCUUUUAAUACUGCUAGACUAGAGGUCGAAAGAGGAUAGCGGAAUUCCUAGUGUAGAGGUGAAAUUCGUAGAUAUUAGGAGAAACACCAGUGGCGAAGG